GUCUUUUUGAAUUUUAAUUUAAAGUCUAAUCUGCCCACUGAUUUAUUAAAUGGCCGCAGUAUCUUAACUGUGCAAAGGUAGCAUAAUAAUUAGUCUUUUAAUUGAGGGCUUGUAUGAAUGAUUGGACGAGAUAUAAACUGUCUUAUAAAAAAAUAUUGAAUUUUAUAUUUUAGUAAAAAAGCUAAAAUGUUUUUAAAAGACGAGAAGACCCUAUAGAUCUUUACAUAAUAAUUAAAUUAUUUUUUUUUAGAAAAUUUUUAAAUUAAUUUUUUAUAUGUUUUGUUGGGGUGACAUUGAAAUUAAAUAAACUUUCAAUAUUUAUUAAACAUAAAUUUAUGAAAUUUUGAUCCUUUAUUAUUGAUUAAAAAUUUAAGUUACCUUAGGGAUAACAGCGUAAUUAUUUUGGAGAGUUCAUAUCGAUAAAAUAGAUUGCGACCUCGAUGUUGGAUUAAGAUUAAUUCUAGGUGUAGCAGUUUAGAAUAUUAAGUCUGUUCGACUUUUAAUUUCUU
rnacentral:rRNA from 1 species